GACGAACGCUGGCGGCGUGCUUAACACAUGCAAGUCGAACGAAGUGGCGAACGGGUGAGUAACGCGUAAUCAACCUGCCCUUCAGAGGGGGACAACAGUUGGAAACGACUGCUAAUACCGCAUAUUAUUCGAGCGGCCGAUAUCUGAUUAGCUGGUUGGUGGGGUAAGGCCUACCAAGGCGACGAUCAGUAGCCGGCCUGAGAGGGUGAUCGGCCACAAGGGGACUGAGACACGGCCCUUACUCCUACGGGAGGCAGCAGUGGGGAAUAUUGGACAAUGGACCAAGAUCUGAUCCAGCAAUUCUGUGUGCACGAUGAAGUUUUUCGGAAUGUAAAGUGCUUUCAGUUGGGAAGCGGUACCAACAGAAGAAGUGACGGCUAAAUACGUGCCAGCAGCCGCGGUAAUAC
rnacentral:rRNA from 1 species